rnacentral:rRNA from 1 species
CAGCCGCCGCGGGAAUACGAAGGGGGCUAGCGUUGCUCGGAAUUACUGGGCGUAAAGGGAGCGUAGGCGGAUAGUUCAGUCAGAGGUGAAAGCCCAGGGCUCAACCUUGGAAUUGCCUUUGAUACUGGCUGUCUUGAGUAUGGGAGAGGUUAGCGGAACUCCGAGUGUAGGGGUGAAAUUCGUAGAUAUUGGGAAGAACACCGGUGGCGAAGGCGGCGACCUGGUCCUUGACUGACGCUGAGGCGCGAAAGCGUGGGGAGCAAACAGGAUUAGAUACCCCGGUAGUCCCUGUCUCUUAUAU